CCUAUCUCCUCUCCUCCGCGACCUCUCUCUCCAUGGCCGCCAAGAGGAAGCUCCGCAGGUCGUCGGCGGUGGCUGCUCCAACAGCGCCGAAGGCGAAGGAAGACGAAGCGGAGAGGCUGUUCUCCUCGCGCCCCUUCGCCGACCUCGCCCUCCACCCCACCCCCUACGCACGCCCCCAAGGAGGCUGCUCAUCUGAUCUAAGCAAGUAGCAAAAGUAGGAAAGCACGCACCUUGGUUACUGAGCAGCAUCAUCAGCAUCAGAUCCAAUGCUUAGAGAGAAGAGUAACGAGGAUGUGGACUAUGGAAGAAGAGUAGUGAGGUUGUGCUGUUGAUGUGAGCUAAAUUUGUCGUUCCUCUACCUUAUGGCUUAGUUCCCAAUGUCAUGAGAUUGUGACGUUGAAUGGUUCAGGUUACAAGCAAUUAUUCGGUCGAUUAGUUCUAGGCCCGGCCGCGCACCAGACCUAUAAAAAAGGGUUUAUUAGGAGCGCUGGCCUGGGCUUCAGUCAUUAUUAAGGUCCCUACUUGAACUGUUAAAAAAAGCAGAUGCACUGUUCAAAGAAAUUUGUCCUUCUUUU
rnacentral:rRNA from 1 species